rnacentral:rRNA from 1 species
GUGCCGGGGGAACUGGCAUGCUGCGGACGAUGUGGCCUCUUCGGAUUAGGAUUACGUGGCGAGCGGGUGAGUAACACGUGAAGGAUCUGUGCUUCCCUCUGACUCACGCGUGGCAACGGGUCCAAAUACCGGGUAUUACUCUGUCCCGUUGGGUGUGUUAUGCACGGCGCCGGCGUUGAAGGAGGAGCCAGGUCCAACUCUUAUUGUUGGUGGGGUAAUGGCCUACCAAGGCGACGACGGGUAGCCGGCCUGAGAGGGCGACCGGCCACACUGGGACUGAGACACGGCCCAGACUAAUACGGGAGGCAGCAGUGGGGAAUAUUGCACAAUGGGCGAAAGCCUGAUGCAGCGACGCCGCGUGAGGGAUGACGGCCUUCGGGUUGUAAACCUCUUUCAGCAGGGAAGAAGCGAAAGUGACGGUACCUGCAGAAGAAGCGCCGGCUAACUACGUGCCAGCAGCCGCGGGUAAUACGUAGGGCGCAAGCGUUGUCCGGAAUUAUUGGGCGUAAAGAGCUCGUAGGCGGCUUGUCACGUCGGAUGUGAAAGCCCGGGGCUUAACCCCGGGUCUGCAUUCGAUACGGGCGCUAGAGUGUGGUAGGGGAGAUCGGAAUUCCUGGUGUAGCGGUGAAAUGCGCAGAUAUCAGGAGGAACACCGGUGGCGAAGGCGGAUCUCUGGGCCAUUACUGACGCUGAGGAGCGAAAGCGUGGGGAGCGAACAGGAUUAGAUACCCUGGUAGUCCACGCCGUAAACGUUGGGAACUAGGUGUUGGCGACAUUCCACGUCGUCGGUGCCGCAGCUAACGCAUUAAGUUCCCCGCCUGGGGAGUACGGCCGCAAGGCUAAAACUCAAAGGAAUUGACGGGGGCCCGCACAAGCAGCGGAGCAUGUGGCUUAAUUCGACGCAACGCGAAGAACCUUUACCAAGGCUUGACAUAUACCGGAAAAGCAUCAGAAAAUGGUGCCCCCCUUUGUGGUCGGGUAUACAGGGUGGUGCAUGGCUGUCGUCCAGCCUCAGUCGGGCGUCUAGCGCAACGUUUGUUCUGUGUGGAGAGCAUGCUGUUCGCACAGAUGGGGAUCACGCUCGAUGGGCGGCUUCAACAUCGAACGACACGAGCUGACGACAGCCAUGCACCCCUGUACACGGAAUGCACACGUGCUACAAUGGCCGGUACAAUGAGCUGCGAUGCCGCGAGGCGGAGCGAAUCUCAAAAAGCCGGUCUCAGUUCGGAUUGGGGUCUGCAACUCGACCCCAUGAAGUCGGAGUUGCUAGUAAUCGCAGAUCAGCAUUGCUGCGGUGAAUACGUUCCCGGGCCUUGUACACACCGCCCGUCACGUCACGAAAGUCGGUAACACCCGAAGCCGGUGGCCCAACCCCUUGUGGGAGGGAGCUGUCGAAGGUGGGACUGGCGAUUGGGACGAAGUCGUAACAAGGUAGCCGUACCGGAAGGUGCGGCUGGAUCCACCUC